AUCAAAGCGAUGACUGGGACGAGUACUUGACGUCCAGCGGAGGCCAGCGAACCGGGGGAAUGGUGCGAGCCCGGACUUCGGCGGUCAAGGAAUAUCCCCCAGGAGCAUCUCUUGAACCUCAUUCCGGAAGUAAAGAGCAUCGGCUGAUCCCGUUAUCGAUCAUGGAGCGAAGACUUCGAGCCGGGCAGCGGCCGUGAACGACACGGGCGAUUGUUUCGACGAUUCGUCGUCUUAAACAGGGUGGUACCGCGAGACUUCUCGUCCCUUAG
rnacentral:ncRNA from 1 species